rnacentral:rRNA from 1 species
ACUCCUACGGGAGGCAGCAGUGGGGAAUAUUGGACAAUGGGGGCAACCCUGAUCCAGCCAUGCCGCGUGAGUGAAGAAGGCCUUAGGGUUGUAAAGCUCUUUCANCNGUGAAGAUAAUGACAGUACCCUAGAAGAAGCCCCGGCUAACUCC